UUGGGAUCCCCGGAAGUUCGUGGCGAGCUCAUGGAGCUGGCUUGCGUGUGCAAAGAUGAUCUAGCAGUUGCCCAUCGUCGGUGCGCGGAGGCCUGGUUUCAAAUCCGAGGGAACAGGUUCGUAAACCAAACACGUCUUGAUUGAGCAGGAAAAGAAAAACGAACCUGGAUGAUGCAGGAGGUGUGAGAUAUGCGGGAAGAUCGUCACCAACAUCACGGUCAAACGGGGAAUGUGGAGCCGCGUGACCCGUAUAAUUAACCCCGAGGUAGAGCCCAGCCGGCAUCCACAUUGCAACGUUUU
rnacentral:lncRNA from 1 species